rnacentral:rRNA from 1 species
GAUGAACGCUGGCGGCGUGCCUAACACAUGCAAGUCGAACGAGUGGCGGACGGGUGAGUAAUGUCUGGGAAAGUGCCUGAUGGAGGGGGAUAACUACUGGAAACGGUAGCUAAUACCGCAUACCAUCGGAUCGGCCCAGAUGGGAUUAGCUCGUAGGUGGGGUAACGGCUCACCGAGGCGACGAUCCCGAGCUGGUCUGAGAGGAGGACCAGCCAUACUGGAACUGAGACACGGUCCCGACUCCUACGGGAGGCAGCAGUGGGGAAUUUUGGACAAUGGGCGCAAGCCUGAUACAGCCAUGCCGCGUGUAUGAAGAAGGCCUUCGGGUUGUAAAGUACUUUCAGCGGGGAGGCGUUAACCGCAGAAGAAGCACCGGCUAACUCCGUGCCAGCCGCCGCGGUAAUAG